rnacentral:tRNA from 1 species
AGGGAUGUUGUUUGGUGGUAGAGCUCUUGCCUUGUAUGCACAAGGACAUGGGUUUGAUUCCCAGCAUCACUA